rnacentral:rRNA from 1 species
UACGGAGGGUGCGAGCGUUAAUCGGAAUUACUGGGCGUAAAGCGCACGCAGGCGGUUUGUUAAGCUAGAUGUGAAAGCCCCGGGCGCAACCUGGGAUGGUCAUUUAGAACUGGCAGACUAGAGUCUUGGAGAGGGGAGUGGAAUUCCAGGUGUAGCGGUGAAAUGCGUAGAUAUCUGGAGGAACAUCAGUGGCGAAGGCGACUCCCUGGCCAAAGACUGACGCUCANGUGCGAAAGUGUGGGUAGCGAACAGG